UUGAGAUAUUUCAUCACACUAUUCAGCAUGGCACACAAUUUAAAAGUUAUGAAUUGUUUAUUUCUGGAAUUUUCCAUUUAAUGAUUUCAAGCCACAGUUGACUGUGGGUUACUGAAACCAUGGAUUAGGGGGGAACUACUGAAUAGUGGCAAAGGCAUUUUGGUGAUGGGUGGAUGUCACCAUUAUUCUUGGUCAACCUCCAGUGUUUUCUCUGUGUGUCUGAUGGGAUUGUCUGCUGUCCCUGGUGUGUGAGAACAGUCUCCCAAGCAGGAACCCUGUCUCUGAGAGGUCUCUGGAUGCUGUCCUUUGCUGAUGUGAUGAUCAUUAACAAUCAGCUUUAAAAUAUAUUUGGCUAAACCUGGGUGGCCUUUUCUCAAGAAGGGUCUGCGUCUGUGUGCCUGAGCCCUGACCACUGACCACCGGACCAAUGCAGAGCCUUCUUGGCAUCUCAGACAUGGCACAGUGGGGGCCCCUGGACCAGCUCCAGUCCUCAGUAAAAGAAAAGAAACGAAAAAAAAA